ACAGUCCGUCCCCAUUAACCACUCGGGCAUCGACCCAGGAAGAAUUUAUUCUAGGGUUUUUACUAAUCUAUGAUUAACCUCCUUUCAUAAUACUCCCUACCCCCAGGGGAAGUCGAAUCCCCGCUGGCUCCUAGAUCGGAAGAG